rnacentral:rRNA from 2 species
AGUUUCCAGGCUUGCUCGGAAACUAGUGGCGAACGGCUGAGUAACGCGUAGGUGACCUACCCCGUAGUGUGGAAUAACUGCCCGAAAGGGUAGCUAAUACCGCAUGUUGAGCCGACAUCAAUGUCGUCUCCAAAGCAGAAAUGCGCUAUGGGCGGGGCCUGCGUUCGAUUAGCUAGUUGGUGGGGUAAUGGCUCACCAAGGCGACGAUCGAUAGGUGGUCUGAGAGGACGAUCACCCAGACUGGGACUGAGACACGGCCCAGACUCC